UGGCAAUGAUGGAGGGAACUUGCAUGCUAAGCAUCCAGGAUGCCAUGCAGCAGACACCAGGGAGCACUGAGCCACU